rnacentral:rRNA from 1 species
UAUAAUGGGUCAGCGACUUAUAUUCUGUAGCAAGGUUAACCGUAUAGGGGAGCCGAAGGGAAACCGAGUCUUAACUGGGCGUUAAGUUGCAGGGUAUAGACCCGAAACCCGGUGAUCUAGCCAUGGGCAGGUUGAAGGUUGGGUAACACUAACUGGAGGACCGAACCGACUAAUGUUGAAAAAUUAGCGGAUGACCUGUGGCUGGGGGUGAAAGGCCAAUCAAACCGGGAGAUAGCUGGUUCUCCCCGAAAGCUAUUUAGGUAGCGCCUCGUGAACUCAUCUUCGGGGGUAGAGCACUGUUUCGGCUAGGGGGCCAUCCCGGCUUACCAACCCGAUGCAAACUACGAAUACCGAAGAAUGUUAUCACGGGAGACACACGGCGGGUGCUAACGUCCGUCGUGAAGAGGGAAACAACCCAGACCGCCAGCUAAGGUCCCAAAGUCAUGGUUAAGUGGGAAACGAUGUGGGAAGGCCCAGACAGCCAGGAUGUUGGCUUAGAAGCAGCCAUCAUUUAAAGAAAGCGUAAU